rnacentral:rRNA from 1 species
UACGUAGGGGGCAAGCGUUGUCCGGAAUCAUUGGGCGUAAAGCGCGUGUAGGCGGCCCGGUAAGUCCGCUGUGAAAGUCGGGGGCUCAACCCUCGAAUGCCGGUGGAUACUGUCGGGCUAGAGUGCGGAAGAGGCGAGUGGAAUUCCUGGUGUAGCGGUGAAAUGCGCAGAUAACAGGAGGAACACCUAUUGCGAAGGCAGCUCGCUGGGACGUUACUGACGCUGAGACGCGAAAGCGUGGGGAGCAAACAGG